rnacentral:rRNA from 1 species
AACGAACGCUGGCGGCGUGCUUAACACAUGCAAGUCGAACGAGAAGUCUGUAGCAAUACAGAUUGUAAAGUGGCGCACGGGUGAGUAACACGUGGGUAAUCUGCCCUUGAGUUUGGGAUAACCCCGCGAAAGCGGGGCUAAUACCGAAUAAGACCACGGGGACCAAAGUCCCUGAGGUAAACGAUGGCCUCUAUUUAUAAGCUAUCCCUUCAGGAUGAGCCCGCGGCCCAUUAGCUAGUUGGCAGGGUAACGGCCUACCAAGGCUAUGAUGGGUAGCUGGUCUGAGAGGACGAUCAGCCACACUGGAACUGAGACACGGUCCAGACUCCUACGGGAGGCAGCAGUGGGGAAUAUUGCGCAAUGGGCGAAAGCCUGACGCAGCAACGCCGCGUGGGGGAUGAAGGUUUUCGGAUUGUAAACCCCUUUCGACCGGAACGAAUCUCCUCUUGGUAAAUAAUCAGGGGGAUCGACGGUACCGGGAGAAGAAGCCACGGCUAACUCUGUGCCAGCAGCCGCCGUAAAAC